rnacentral:RNase_P_RNA from 1 species
UUGUAGCCGGGUUCUGUCGUGGACAAUCAUUCCUCUAGGCUUGCAUUUACACACAAGCUCAAGCAACCUACCCGAACUCUCGGCGGGCCACCGAUUGAGUUCCUAUUUGGUCUUGCUACGAGUGGAGUUUACCUAGCUGCCAAAUGUUACCACUGGCACGGUGCGCUCUUACCGCACCCUUUCACCCUUACCAGCCAAAGCUGGCGGUCUGCUCUCUGUUGCACUAGUCGUAGGCUCGCGCCCCCCGGACGUUAUCCGGCACUCUGCCCUAUGUAGCCCGGACUUUCCUCCCA